GACGAACGCUGGCGGCGUGCCUAAUACAUGCAAGUAGAACGCUGAAGGAGGAGCUUGCUUCUCUGGAUGAGUUGCGAACGCGUGAGUAACGCGUAGGUAACCUGCCUGGUAGCGGGGGAUAACUAUUGGAAACGAUAGCUAAUACCGCAUAAUAGUAGAUGUUGCAUGACAUUUGCUUAAAAGGUGCAAUUGCAUCACUACCAGAUGGACCUGCGUUGUAUUAGCUAGUUGGUGAGGUAACGGCUCACCAAGGCAACGAUACAUAGCCGACCUGAGAGGGUGAUCGGCCACACUGGGACUGAGACACGGCCCAGACUCCUACGGGAGGCAGCAGUAGGGAAUCUUCGGCAAUGGGGGGAACCCUGACCGAGCAACGCCGCGUGAGUGAAGAAGGUUUUCGGAUCGUAAAGCUCUGUUGUAAGAGAAGAACGAGUGUGAGAGUGGAAAGUUCACACUGUGACG
rnacentral:rRNA from 1 species